rnacentral:lncRNA from 1 species
GGGGUGGGUAUUUAUGUUUAAAUUUUGGUUUGAUCGGUUUGAUUUGUUUGCUUCUAAAAUAUAAUUGAAAUAAACCAAAGUUUAUUUGGUUUCUGUUCGCUUCAGUUUAAUUUUGUUUGAGUUUGGUUAAGAUUAAUCGAGUUGAUUUUUAUUUUUGUUCUAAUUUGAUUAAGAAAAUAUAAUUAUAAGACACAAACAAACUACCAAUUUAUAAAUCAAUAUUUUCAUAUUUAAUCAUUAUCUUCAAAUCUAGUAUAACUAUCAUACUAGUUUUUGAUUUUUUUUAGUGUAAGAGAUAAGAAAAAUAAUACAU